GGAUUCUCAGUGUCACCAAAGCCUUCCCCAGGGCUUUAGAGCCAACCCUGGGGGUUUCCUGCUUCUGUAGCUCAGGGAAGGGGAUCAUCACAGUGGAAGGCAGCUGCUCUUCCUCCCAUUAAACAGAGCAAGACAUGCAAAUGAGGUUCCUCCCUCUGGGCAUGAACCCAGCACAAAACCUGUGUCUGCUGCUCUGGGAGAGGAGCUUCUCCUUGUGUGGCCUUUCCCAGCUGAGGACUGACACUGUAGAGCCUGAAUCAUGGGAUUUGGACUCAAAGGCAUUUUCAUUCUGAUGAUUUUGCAAGGUGUCCAUUGUGACAUUCCGCUGGUGGAGUCUGGGGGAGAUGUGAGACAGCCUGGAGGAUCCUUGAAACUCUCCUGCAAAGCUUCUGGAUUCACCUUCAGCAGCUACUACAUGUAUUGGAUCCGCCAGGCUCCAGGGAAGGGGCUGGAGUGGGUCUCAGCAAUUAGUAGUGAUGGAAGUAGCACAGGCUAUGCAGACUCUGUGAAAGGCCGAUUCACCAUCUCCAGGGACAAUGGCAACAGCCUGCUGCACCUGCAGAUGAAUUCCCUGAAAGCCGAGGACACAGCCACGUAUUACUGUGCAAGAGACACAGUGAGGGAGAGCAGUGAGAGAGCAGACAAAAACCUCCUCUCCAGAGAGUUCUGGUGGAGAAUGACAGAGAGGGAACUCCAGAACUCUUAGCACAAGGAGCCCAGUUACAACAACAGGUGAAGAGGGAGGCUGACAAGUGUCUUUUCAAGGUCUGUGAUUUUCUCCCAAAUGCCAGUGAACAUCUCUCUCUCUCUCUCUCUCUCUCUCUCUCUCUCUCUCUCUCUCUCUCUCUCUCUCUCUCUCUCUCUCUCUCUCUCUCUCUCUCUCUCUCUUUUCUGUCUUAAUUCCUUUUUGUCUCUGCUGCUCUUUCCUGCUUCUGAUAAGCAGAGGCUCAGGGAGGAGACUUAUUCUUUUAAUGGUUUCCGUAUUUUGUAUAAUCGUGACUCUAAUUUCUCUGACAUUGUCAGACAUGAAGCACAGAAGAGGUCACAUGACAAAUGAGGAAGCACUGAACAUUCCCUACAUGCAUCCUGCAGGGUUUUCAUACACUCUGAGCACAGGGAAGCACAGUUGUGCAGGGAAGUCAGCUGGUGUGCCGAGUCAGUCUAGAGGAAACCUUUAAAAACCUUUUUUUUUCCUUUUAGCCCUUACACAGGCAGCUGCCUAAGAAGGUGGGAUUUGCACUCUCAGCCUCUUCUCAUUUCAAUCAGAGUUUCAGUGAUUCUAUCAGAAUGUCUUUUGACCUCAUAGGAAGAUGCUUGCUGUGGUCUAAACAAGCAGGAUUUUUGGAAGGUCCUCCCAAUGCUUCUCUGGGGAUAGGAGUGGAAUAAACUCCUUUAACUUCUGUUUCUGAGCUGGCUUCAUUUAAUUAGGGUUAAGUCUAGAUGCUCCGUUUACCAUCUAACAUAGGUAUAAAUAUCUGUUUAUCUUUCUGUGUGUGCUAAUAGUGAUCUUUCCAUGUAUGUAUUUAUCCAUAUUCAUGCAUAUAUGGGAGGGACCUAACUGGAGGGAACAUGAGGCUCAACCAGACUUUCCAUAUGAUCAAAAUCUUAUUCCUUUUGUUCCUGUGAAGGGGGUUUCCAUGCUGACUUGCACAGCUGGGAGGUCUUUGUGGUUGCCUUCACUGGUGCUUGGGCCAGAUUGAAGUCCUGUUCCCUUGGUGGUAGGGCAUGACUGGAGGCUUGGGUCCUCUGAGGUCUUGCUGUUGGCCUUUUGUUGGAGUGGGGACUCACAGCUCCCUCUGCUGGCUAGAGUUCGGCUGGACCCUCCCUUUCAUGUGGGCAGGGGCUCCCCCCUUCUCUGGCUGGGAUGCAGACUGCCUUUGCUCAGACUGCUCCAACUGUACCUCCCUCCAAGCCCUGUGGGACUAACCUUUCCUGCUGGCUCUCUUGCCUGCUCUGGUCUGCAGGACUCUUAACUGCUUUUAAAUUCAGACCUGCAAGGAACCAAAGAGAACCUUUCUGGCAAUCCAAGAACAUAACCUCAAGCUGGGAGCUGAAGAUGAAGCAGAAUCAACUGUGCUUUUUCAGAACCAACAUACAUAGAGAUUUGUGGGCCAAGACCAAGCAAAGGGGGUUCUUUACUUUCACAAUCUGGAAUGAAGAUUUUGUGGAAAAGUGGCUUUUCUGCUGGUAUAGUCGGAUAUUAUUUCCAAGCUUUAAAAACUCCCUAGUGAAGAUACGCUCUAGCAGGCUUUGCCAUUCCCCUGCAGCAGACACCCUUGGGCUUCUUUAUGGAUUUGACCAGAAUAGUGGAAAAAGUAGACUGCUGCACUAAAUCUCAUGUAAGAUUUAGACAACCAAUGUUGAUUUACUUAAUGAUGCCCUUAAUGUGCUCACUACUGUAUAAACUGAUUUUCAGUGUAGGGGCUAGCUAUAUCCAUAUCGUCAAUCUUCCUAUAAAUGGAGAGUGUAUAAAAAUGUUCAGUUUCAUGAAAGAAUAAUCUACAGAAUUUUGAGAGGAUUUAUAUAUUAACUUGUUUUAUAUCUAAGGCCAUUACUAAAACAUAGUAAUUAAUUAAUAAAUGUUGAUUUCUUCCCUUUAAAUAUUAAAUACUAUGUUUACAUGCGUACAUAUAUCAUAUAUAAUUAUGCAAAUAUACAUGUGUUUGUGUUAAGAAUUGUUAUUAAUUUAUUGACUGGUACCUUUCGGCAGAAAGGAAUAUCUGCGUUACUUUUUUAAGUCAAGUUUAUUUUUGCUAUUGCUCAUUUGCUAUCAUACAAGCUCUUUUGAGGUGACUUGAAACUUAAUAGAGUUGACUCUAGUCCCUUAGAGAAUUAUUUUUUCUAUGCUUUGGCCUUUUUUCAUCACUUUAUUCAGUAAAAUUAACCUCCAAGUAAAUUGUAAAAGCAAUACUUUCUUAAUGUCUUCUGAAUGGUAGGGUUUUUCAGAUGGGAUCAGAUAUUACAAUGUAGGGCCAAUAUCAGAAGAAUAAAUUUUUGGAAAGCUCUCUAAGGCUGAUAGGCCCAGUGCAGUCUUAGUCUGUCUUGAGAUAAUAAAUACAGACCACUACAUAACAGAGACAAAUUAUUGUAUUUAAUAAAUAAGGGAAGGUGAAAAGGGGAUUAGGGAUCAUCUAAACUAAGGUCAAUCUACCUAAACCUACCAGAUCUAAUUAGCUCAUCACAGAGAUUUCUUCUGGGUGAAUUUCCUACAUUAAUACUCCCUAACUGCCUAAAUCCCCAAUCUUAACUAAACCUACAAUUAACAGCCCCCCUUUGCUCGAUUUAAGGAAAGGGCCUUUGGUAGGACCAGGGAAGGUCUUAGAUCCAAAAAGAUCCAGACCAGAUCUCACAAUCACUGUAGGUGUUUUAGGUUCACCAGGAACUGCCUUGAUGAAUUGCAGCAAGCAGGAAAAGUCAGGAUUAGUCACCAAGAAAAUGUGCAGCCUCCACCUUCAGAUAUUCAUCAGAGAGAUGAAUAGUCCAAGCCUAACCUUUCCUUCAAAAUUCCAGAAUCUCCCUCUGGUCUCAUACCACUUUUAUCUGCAAACUUACACACUUUCCUACAUAAUUUGAGUUUCCUCAUAACAAGGCAGUGGACUAUAGAUUAUAUUAAUGAGCUGACAGAACUAUACAACCAGUUGAAACAGUUUCAGAUAUUGUCCAACUGGCUAUCUAGGCAAGAUAUUCUAAUAAUGGAAUCCUAAAGUGUUGGGAACAUUCUCCUUUGAACAUUUGGCAACCUAGACAUUUUGGGGUGGAUGUGCAAACAAGCUUACCCAUGUAUCCAGUCCAGAUUUUCUGGCCAGAUGUCUGAUCCACAUGUCCAGACCAGAGUCCUGCCUCCACUGACCAUCCCUAUAAAUGUUGUAAGUUGUAGAUAAGAAUCCCACAUGACUCUGUCUAAAAUGUUCUUUGUAACCUAGAAUGCUAUUUAGCAGGGUCUUUAAUGUUCAUAUUCCCAUAUGUUCUAUCUUAAAUAAAAACUUAAUUUGUUAUCAUAAUUCUGAGAGAAAAGGGAAGGGGUUAGAAUGGGUUAAAUUAUAUAACAGAAAGAGGCAUCAUAAAUCAUUAUAGAGAGGGGAAGAGAAGUGUUUUGAUAGGCAAUGUUUAAACUUUACUCUUAUCAUAACUGGCUAAGAGAAAGAAAAACAAAUAUACUCAUUGGAUUAUAAAAUUAUAUCUUACCCUACAGAAAAGUACAAGGAGAAUUAGACAAGUGAAAAGGGUGUUAAUUGGAGGGAGGAAGAUUCAGGAGGGAGUCAUAAAAAGCAAAAUACUGAAAGCCCAGGAAUGUUUGAAGCGUGUGAGCUCAGUAAUCCCUCUGAACUCUCAUUAGAAAUCGCUGCCACAAAUAUGAAAAAAAUAAUUCCUUACAACUUUGCUGAAAACUAAUCAAGGUUCAAAUAACUCAGAAUUAGGGUUGUCUAAAUUCUAGGUUUCACAUCAGUACAAAGAUGUAUUUCAUAUAAAUAUGUGUUUAUAUAUCUUUAUAUGUAUGUUAAUAUAUGUGAUCUUUCCAUGCAUAUUUUUAUAUCUCUUGUUUUUUAAGUGAUUUUUCAAAUGUCCCUUAACAAAUAUAAUUUUAUUAUACUAAAUAUGGACUGGAUGAUAUACAGUAAAGGAAAAGUUAAAUAUUUCUGAUUUUCUGAAUUAGCUUAAAUUUUAAUGCCUCCAUGAAUGACCAGGUUUGUAUAGGCAUUGGUUAAAGAAAAAAAAUAAUUUGUUUUCUUUUUUAAUUCAAUACUUGUCAGAGAUUUUUCCCCAAAAUUAUAUUUAGGUUCCUAACAUUAUUUUUAUUUUUGGUUGAUUUAAAAGGGGAACAUUAAGAAACCUCAGUAUUGUAGCUUUAAUCUCUCUUUAUUUUAAUAUUUUGUUGAUUUUUCCUUUUAACAAUUAAAUACUAUGCAUGUGUAUGUAUAUGUUACAUGCAUGAUUAUAAACUUAAAAAUAUGUUGUUUUAAGAAUUGUUAUUAAUUUAAUGACUCUGAUACCUUCAUAGAAUCUUACUCUGGAAAUAGCUUUGUGGGUCCUUGAGCAGAGGUGAGAAGUAUGGGUAUUGGGCUUACAGGAGGGCCUGUGCUGACUAAGAAUUAUGUAGACAGCAUCGUAGAGAGGUGGCAAAGUUUAAUGGAUUGGGGUUUACAAUGUAUAAGGUAAAUGGUGUAGGAAAGGGGAUUAGGUAAGCUUCAUACAGAAAUAAUGAUAAUGAUUUACAAGAUCAAGAUAAUGGAAAUGAACUACUUUAGUGUUUCUCAAUAGUAAUUUCUAUAACUAAAAGAUCAGGUAAAUAAGAAACCACCAAGUCCAAAUUUUCAGGGAAAUGUUUGGCUUUAGUGCGUAGAUUAAGGACAACAAGUUGUUGCAAAGUACAGAAGGGGUUUUAGGAGUCUCAGGUGAUGCCUAAGAUGCAUGACUGAUUCUGCCUAGCUUAUAGCUCUGAUCUUAUUGGGGUUUACUCUCACUACAGGGGCUGCACCAGUAUAAUGUAGUUUCUGUGUUUCUCUUUUUCAAUCAAGUUUAUUUUGACUCAACUCAUUUUAGAUCAUGCAAACUCUUUUGAGUUUACUUGAAGCAUAAUAGAUUUGACUCCAGCACUUUAGAAAAUUAUUUUUCUCCAACCUCAUAGAAAAACAAUUUUGAAAUUUAUCUUUUAAAAAAAAUUUCCAAAUUCUCAAUCUGAUAAAGAUUUUACAAGUGCAAUCAUAGAAAACAUUUUUUCAUGUCAGUUAUUUUGUAGAGAUCUCAAAAAAAAAAA